rfam:Chaetura pelagica isolate M959 contig25200, whole genome shotgun sequence.
UUCAUUAAGGUGGGUGGAAUAGUAUAACAAUAUGCUAAAUGUUGUUAUAGUAUCCCACCUACCCUGAUGUA